GGCCGCUUGGUCUAGUAGUAUGAUUCCUGUUUUGGGUACAGGAGGUCGCGAGUUCAAUUCUCGCAGCGGCCC
rnacentral:tRNA from 1 species